rnacentral:lncRNA from 1 species
CAGUAGGCUGCCUACUCUAUGAGCAUGUUUGGAAAUAAAUCUUUCAAGGCUUCCUCUGACUACGGUCCUGACCCACAGCUGGACUGCAAUUGCAUGGGAGACCCUGAGCCAGUACCAAGCAGAAAAAGUGCUCUCAGAUUCCUAAAACACAGAAACUGUCCUGGGUUUAUCCUAAGGCUGUUUCACACCAAAGCUCUACAGGAAGGACACCAAGUAGCAAAAAAAUGCAUGUCAAAUGGGAGAAACAAAGUAGUUUUCCUUGGCUCUGUGUUAUGAGGGAUGAGCACUGUCUUUUACAAGCUGUUCUCUGAGUUUUAUUAAAUAUCAACAGAAGUUCAACAAUGUGAGAGAGACUUCAAACAUAAUCACUGCUGUUAGAAUAAGAGGAACAACCAGGAGCAAGACAACGUUACCCAUGCCAAGUCCUCAAUAAUCCUGAUGCAGAGCAGUCUGCAUGAAAAUUAGGACAAUUAUCUACUGUAAAUUAAUGUACUUUAAUAUUCAACCUCUAAUACACACAUAUUGCUUUGUUUUCACAGGAUUAAAUGAAUUGAAGGGAUUAUAAAUCCAUAUGCAGUG